UACGUAGGGUGCGAGCGUUAAUCGGAAUUACUGGGCGUAAAGCGUGCGCAGGCGGUUCGUUGUGUCGGCGGUGAAAGCCCCGGGCUCAACCUGGGAAUGGCCGUUGAAACUGGCGAACUGGAGUGUGGCAGAGGGGGGUGGAAUUCCUGGUGUAGCGGUGAAAUGCGCAGAUAUCAGGAGGAACACCGGUGGCGAAGGCGGGUCUCUGGGCCGAUACUGACGCUGAGGAGCGAAAGCGUGGGGAGCGAACAGG
rnacentral:rRNA from 1 species